UUGAACGCUAGCGGGAUGCCUUACACAUGCAAGUCGAACGGCAGCACGGACUUCGGUCUGGUGGCGAGUGGCGAACGGGUGAGUAAUGUAUCGGAACGUGCCCAGUAGCGGGGGAUAACUACGCGAAAGCGUGGCUAAUACCGCAUACGCCCUACGGGGGAAAGCAGGGGAUCGCAAGACCUUGCACUAUUGGAGCGGCCGAUAUCGGAUUAGCUAGUUGGUGGGGUAACGGCUCACCAAGGCGACGAUCCGUAGCUGGUUUGAGAGGACGACCAGCCACACUGGGACUGAGACACGGCCCAGACUCCUACGGGAGGCAGCAGUGGGGAAUUUUGGACAAUGGGGGAAACCCUGAUCCAGCCAUCCCGCGUGUGCGAUGAAGGCCUUCGGGUUGUAAAGCACUUUUGGCAGGAAAGAAACGUCGCGGGCUAAUACCCCGCGGAACUGACGGUACCUGCAGAAUAAGCACCGGCUAACUACGUGCCAGCMGCCGCGUA
rnacentral:rRNA from 1 species